CAUGGCUCAGGACGAACGCUGGCGGCGUGCCUAAUACAUGCAAGUAGAACGCUGAAGGGAGAGCUUGCUCUUCUGGAUGAGUUGCGAACGGGUGAGUAACGCGUAGGUAACCUGCCUGGUAGCGGGGGAUAACUAUUGGAAACGAUAGCUAAUACCGCAUAACAUUGACUAUUGCAUGAUAGUCAAUUGAAAGGUGCAAAUGCACCACUACCAGAUGGACCUGCGUUGUAUUAGCUAGUUGGUGGGGUAACGGCUCACCAAGGCGACGAUACAUAGCCGACCUGAGAGGGUGAUCGGCCACACUGGGACUGAGACACGGCCCAGACUCCUACGG
rnacentral:rRNA from 1 species